UUCCAGCUUCUCCUGGGCGUCUUUCAAGGCUUCGGAGUACUUGUCCAGCUCGUCCUCGGUGCCCUUCAGCUUCUUCUGCAGGCCAAGCAGCUCCUCCUCCAACUGGAGACGUAUCAGACGGAAAGGUGGACAGUGGCUCAAGGAGGUAAUGGAAACCACUCUUCAGUGUCGACGCGGGAGCUGUCCCAUGCUAAAGCACACUUUCAAAAUUGUAAAUUAAAAAGGCAACUACCGGUACUUUCACCCAGAUGAGUGAGAGUCUAUUGAACUUGUAAAGCUGCUUAGACUUCAUGGCUGCACAUAGUUAUGCUAAGCAUGCAGUGCUGGACAGGAUCGUCUCUGCAAUCUCGCCGUCAGAGUUUUGAUUGCUCAGUGUUGAUUGCUCAGUGUUGAUUGCUCAAUGUAUUUUUAGUCCAGACAAGCUUCCCUCAGUGUGCUGCUGACCUCACACCCUUGAAAGUACAGGAGAUAAUAUCUUUCGUCAUUCUGUGUUUUUGGUGCCAUCAACGCAAGUCCCCGAUAAUUCCUUUGAAUUCCAGGCAGACUAUCACCCGAUGGCUAAGAAUACCAGUGAUGUUGCUGAGUGUCGAAGACAAAAGCCACUGCCCAGUCCUGGGUGCUGUAGGCACUCAUUGUGUGGCUGGAUCCCCUUAUACUCACAGCCCUUCUCGGCACACUGGACACCCCCCGCAAGUCUACCUCACCUCCUUGCUUCUUCAUGCUUGAGAUCAAACAUGGGUGAACCUAAACAUCAGGGCUGACUUCUACAAUUAGUUAUUCCAAGUAUUUCUUACAGUGCAAGUAUUCUUAUACUAGUUAUGUUUCAGCAAGUAACCCGAUAUUUUUUGGCAGGACAGUUGCUACUUUUCUAGACAUCAACAUAGAUUGUUAUUCUAGAUAGAAAAGAGCCUUAACUGCAUUGGGAAGGGGACGUUUACUUUCUGUCUUCAAGGACUUUAGACAGAAGAGAAUCUUAUCUCAUUUGUAUUUUAAGACACAGUUUCCUUAUCUAACAGUGUUUACUUUCGGAUGGCAUUGGCGAUGUCAUGGUAUUGUAUACAACAAAAAUCAAUUCUUCAGUUUGGUAGGACUGGCUGCUGAGAAGAACAUGUGACCAUAAAAUGAAACAAAAGUCACCUAAUUAAAACUUUUGCUACA